UGUCCUUCAGUGUGAGAGACGUUAGUAGUAAAUGUGGAGAGGUUUAAGGGACACGUGGCAGUGAGAGAAUGGAAUCAAAUCCUUUUUUGAUUUUCUUUGUAACCGUUUGAGAGAGAGGUGUUGGAUUUUUUUGUUUUUUUAUGUGAAGAAGGAAUCCAAUGCACAGAAUAUAUACAUAUAUAUUUUUUCCAACUAUUAUUCUUUUAAGAAGAAUACAAC
rnacentral:lncRNA from 1 species